UACUCAAGAAAAGGAUUUAAGUCCAGCCUAAAGUCUCCUCAGUUUUUCAAAACACAACCUCGACUUUAGAGUAAUUCAAAUAAGGUACAGCCUGUUUGAAAAAGGAUACAACCUAGACUAAUGGGUAAUUUAUUAACCUUUAUGUUUAAGUGGGCCUAAAAGCAGCCACCUUUAGAAUAGCGUCAAAGCUUUGUCAUAGUAUAUUCUUAAUACCUUAAAAAUUUUGAAACCCUUUAACUCUAUUGAGUAAUUCUAUAACACUAUAGAAAAUAUGAUGUUAAAACUAGUAACAAGAAGAAGACCUUCUCUUUAAUGCAAGUGUAAAUCAGAAAGGACCUCCCACUGACAAUUAACCCCCAUGAAAUUAUAUUAGCAACCUCACAAGAAAACCCUAAUAAAUUAUGAGUUAACCUAACACAAGAGCAUUACAAGAAAGAUUAAAAGAAAAAGAAGGAACUCGGCAAACAUUAACCUCGCCUGUUUACCAAAAACAUCGCCUCUUGAAUUAAUAUAAGAGGUCCAGCCUGCCCAGUGACUUUGUUCAACGGCCGCGGUAUCCUAACCGUGCGAAGGUAGCGUAAUCACUUGUCUUUUAAAUGGGGACUUGUAUGAAUGGCAUCACGAGGGUUAUACUGUCUCCUUUUUCCAAUCAGUGAAACUAAUCUUCCCGUGAAGAAGCGGGAAUAAAUAUAUAAGACGAGAAGACCCUAUGGAGCUUUAAACUCAAUAAUAAAUACUAACCUCAUUUUAACUUCCAGAGCAUUAACCUUAAUUUUAGUAUUGUACUUAUUAGUUUUAGGUUGGGGUGACCGCGGAGUAAAAAUUAACCUCCACAUUGAACAGGACCUGUCCUUGAGCCAAGAACUACAACCCUAAGCACCAAAAAAUUGACAUCAAUUGACCCAAUAUUUUGAUCAACGAACCAAGUUACCCUAGGGAUAACAGCGCAAUCCACUUCAAGAGCUCCUAUCGACAAGUGGGUUUACGACCUCGAUGUUGGAUCAGGGUGUCCCAGUGGUGCAGCCGCUACUAAAGGUUCGUUUGUUCAACGAUUAAAACCC
rnacentral:rRNA from 1 species